UACGUAGGGUGCGAGCGUUAAUCGGAAUUACUGGGCGUAAAGCGUGCGCAGGCGGUCUCGUAAGACAGGUGUGAAAUCCCCGGGCUUAACCUGGGAACUGCGCUUGUGACUGCGAGGCUGGAGUGCGGAAGAGGGAGGUGGAAUUCCACGUGUAGCAGUGAAAUGCGUAGAGAUGUGGAGGAACACCGAUGGCGAAGGCAGCCUCCUGGUCCAGCACUGACGCUCAUGCACGAAAGCGUGGGGAGCAAACAGGAUUAGAUACCCUGGUAGUCCACGCCCUAAACGAUGACGACUAGUUGUUGGGGUAGAAGUACCUUAGUAACGCAGCUAACGCGUGAAGUCGUCCGCCUGGGGAGUACGGUCGCAAGAUUA
rnacentral:rRNA from 1 species